GUCCUUUUAAAUUUAUUGAAACUUGUUCUAUGGCCUAGCAUAUGGAAGACGUUCCAUUUGCAUUGAGAAGGAUAUAUAUUCUGCUCUUAUUGAAUGGAAUGUUCUAUAGAUAUAUAUUAGGUCUGGUUGGUUUAUGGUGUUGUACAGAUGCGUUUUUGAUAAUGUCAUUUCCCUUCUUUUUUUUUCAGCUGAUGAAUUAAUCAGUCCUAAAGACAUUGAUCCUGUUCAGUGCUAUAUCCCACUACAGAAUCAACGUAACGUGAGCGUGAGGUUUUCCAAUCAGAUCCCAUCCAGGACACCACAUGAUGUCUAGUUGUCAGAUCCCCUCUCGGCUCGGAAUUUCCCAGGCACUCCUUGGUUUUGAUGACUUUGACAGUUUUGAGACAUACUGAGCAGAUGUUUUGUAGAAUGACCUUCUAUUGGAAUCUGCCUUGGUGUUUUUCUCAUGGUUGGACACAGAUUACUGUUUUUUGAGAGGAAGAUCUCAGAGGACAAAAAUCAGGCAUGAAACAGACACUCUGUAACAUUUGCUGCAAGAACCAAACGGUGGAAGUCAGAGGGUGGAGUAAAAAGAAGAGCGGUGGAAAGAAUGGGAAGAUGCCCCACCUCUGUCAGAGAUGUCUAAGCAUAACAAAAUGAAAUUUCACACCCCCUUCUAAUUUUAGGAAAAUGGAAAUUAGUACUAUAUCUAUUGAAUUGAAUCAAGAAAUGUGUGUGAUAUACAAUAUCUGAUAUAAUUUACUUGGUAUGUUUUGAAUGAAAGUAAGAUGAAUGGAAUUGUUUUCUCAAUAAAUACAAAUCAUUGGCAAGUCUCAAAGUGAUGUCAUUGUGCUCCUAACUUUGUCCUUUUUAAAAAUUUCUGUUUUCUGGUUCAUGUCACACAUGUUUGAUAGUGGUGGAGCCUCUAAUAGCAGCUAUUUUUGUGUUUAUCCUAAUCCUAGCCCUCUCACU